CCGGCGACCGGCGGACGGGUGCAUAACGCGUAUGUAACCUACCUUUGACAGGGGGAUAACAUCGAGAAAUUGGUACUAAUACCCCAUAACAUCACCGGAGGCAUCUUCGGUGGUUGAAAACUCAGGUGGUCAGAGAUGGACAUGCGUUGUAUUAGCUAGUUGGUGAGGUAACGGCUCACCGAGGCGACGAUACAUAGGGGGACUGAGAGGUCAACCCCCCACAUUGGUACUGAGACACGGACCAAACUCCUACGGAAGGCAGCAG
rnacentral:rRNA from 1 species